GAUUAGUAUUUUAUGUUUUGAUGUUCUGAAGAUUGUAAACAAGUAGUUCUUAUUGAUCAUAUUUAGGUAUUUAUAAUU